GGUGCCAGCAGCCGCGGUAAUACCGGCAGCUCAAGUGGUCGUCGCUUUUAUUGGGCCUAAAACGUCCGUAGCCUGUUUGGUAAAUCUGUGGGUAAAUCAACCAGCUUAACUGGUUGAAUUCUGCAGAGACUGCCAGACUGGGGACCGGGAGAGGUGUGGGGUACUCUAGGGGUAGGGGUAAAAUCCUGUCAUCCUUAGAGGACCACCAGUUGCGAAGGCGCCACACUGGAACGGAUCCGACGGUCAGGGACGAAGCCUAGGGGCACGAACCGGAUUAGAUACCCGGGUAGUCCUAGGUGUAAACGCUGUGAACUUGGUGUCGGGGAUCCGUAAUGGGUUCUCGGUGCCGGAGUGAAGAUGUUAAGUUCACUGCCUGGGGAGUACGGUCGCAAGGCUGAAACUUAAAGGAAUUGGCGGGGGAGCACUGCAACGGGAGGAGCGUGCGGUUUAAUUGGAUUCAACGCCGGAAAACUCACCAAGGCCGACUGUUAGAUGAAGAUCAGCGUAAUGAGCUUAUCGGAUUUUCAGAGAGGUGGUGCAUGGCCGU
rnacentral:rRNA from 1 species